rnacentral:rRNA from 1 species
CCUACGGGCGGCAGCAGUGAGGAAUAUUGGUCAAUGGACGGAAGUCUGAACCAGCCACGCCGCGUGCAGGAAGACGGCUCUAUGAGUUGUAAACUGCUUUUGUACGAGGGUAAACGCAGAUACGUGUAUCUGUCUGAAAGUACCGUACGUAUAAGGAUCGGCUAACUCCGUGACAACAGCCGCGGUAAUACGGAGGAUACAAGCGUUACCCGGAUUUAUUGGGUUUAAAGGGUGCGUAGGCGGUCGGAUAAGUUAGAGGUGAAAUCCCGAGGCUCAACUGCGGAAUUGCCUCUGAUACUGUUCGGCUAGAGAGUAGUUGCGGUAAGCGGAAUGUAAGGUGUAGCGGUGAAAUGCUUAGAGAU